UUGAGCUUGAAUCCCUGGCUCAGGAUGAACGCUAGCGGCAGGCUUAACACAUGCAAGUCGAGGGGUAUAGUUCUUCGGAAUUAGAGACCGGCGCACGGGUGCGUAACGCGUAUGCAAUCUACCUUUUACAGAGGGAUAGCCCAGAGAAAUUUGGAUUAAUACCUCAUAGUAUAAUGACUUGGCAUCAAGACAUUAUUAAAGUCACAACGGUAAAAGAUGAGCAUGCGUCCCAUUAGCUAGUUGGUAAGGUAACGGCUUACCAAGGCUACGAUGGGUAGGGGUCCUGAGAGGGAGAUCCCCCACACUGGUACUGAGACACGGACCAGACUCCUACGGGAGGCAGCAGUGAGGAAUAUUGGACAAUGGGCGCAAGCCUGAUCCAGCCAUGCCGCGUGCAGGAUGACGGUCCUAUGGAUUGUAAACUGCUUUUAUACGAGAAGAAACACUACUUCGUGAAGUAGCUUGAACGGUAUCGUAAGAAUAAGG
rnacentral:rRNA from 1 species